rnacentral:rRNA from 1 species
UUUAAGAGUUUGAUCCUGGCUCAGGAUGAAUGUUGGCGGCGUGCCUGAGAUAUGCAAGUCGAACGUAGCCCCGGACGCAAGUCUAGGGCAGUGGCGGACGGCUGAGUAACACAUAGGAAUCUACCCCAAAAUAAGGAAUAGCUCGUCGAAAGACGGGGUAAUACCUCAUGAUCCCGCUCAUAGCGCAAGCUUCUGAGCGGGUAAAGUACGUAACUGUACGUUUUGGGAUGUGCCUGUGGCUUAUCAGGUUGUUGGUAGGGUAACGGCCUACCAAGCCUAUGACGAGUAGCUGGUCUUAGAGGAUGGACAGCCAGAGGGGGACUGAGACACGGCCCCCACUCCUACGGGAGGCAGCAAUCAGGAAUAGUCGGCAAUGGGCGAAAGCCUGACCGCGCGACGCCGCGUGUAGGAUUAAGUUCUAACGAGCGUAAACUACUGUGGUAAGGGAAGAAGUCCCGACUUUGUCGGGAUUGACGGUACCUUACUAGAAAGGGGCCGCUAACUGCGUGCCAGAAGCGUCGGUAAUACGUGGGCCCCGAACAUUAUCCGGUUUUACUGGGUGUAAAAAGUAGUGUAGGUGUUCUGUUAAGUUUUGUUUCAAAUUCUACGGCCUAACCGUAGACAGGGGCAAAAUACUAACAGAAUAGAGUUUUCUUUAGGGAGAUUGGAACUCAGGGAGGAGUAGUGAAAUGCGUUGAUACCCUGGGGAACACCAGUGGCGAAAGCGAAUCUCUGGAAGAUAACUGACACUGAGACACGAAAGCUAGGGGAGCGAAGCAGAUUAGAGACCUGCGUAGUCCUAGCCGUAAACGCAUGCUUGCUAGCCGCAUUUUUCAGCCGCAAGGUUGAAGGGUGUAGCGGAGUACGGCCGCAAGGUUGAAACUCAAAGGAAUUGGCGGGGAGGCACACAACCAGUGGAACAUGUGGUUCAAUUCGAAACGAACCGAAGAACCUCACCAGGGUUUGACAUAACGAUGAUCGCCCGCGAAAUCGGGCUUUCCGCAAGGACAUCGCUACAGGUGCUGCAUGGCUGUCGUCAGCUCGUUCCGUGAGGAGUGCCCUUAAGUGGGACAACGAGCGCAACCCCCAUCUUGUGUUAAAUCUAUCACGAGAGACUGCCCUGACUUUUAGUCGGGGAGGAAGGAGGGGCAGACGUCAAGUCAGCAUGGUCCUUAUACCCUGGGCUACACACAUGUUACAAUGGGAAGUAACAACGGGCAUUGCCAGACGGUAACGUCGAGCAAAUCCCUUAAAUCUUCCCUCAGUGGGGAUUGAGGUCUGCAACCCGACCUCAUGAACGCGGAAUUGGUAGUAAUCGCAGGUCAGCUACACUGCGGUGAAUACGUUCUUGCCUCUUGCACACACCGCCCGUCAAGCCAACAAAGUCGGGGACACUUGAAUUUCGCAUUUAUGCGGAAGAGGGUAUCGCCGGCGAUGGGGGUUAAGUCGUAACAAGGUAACCGUUCUGGAAGGAGCGGUUGGAUCACCUCCUU